rnacentral:lncRNA from 1 species
UCUCGAAUGACCACUGAUGUUGAACACUUUUUCAUAUGUUUAUUUGAUAUUUCUAUUUCUUUGUGUGAGAAAUAUCUGUUCAUUUCAGAUGCCCAUUUUUGGAUUGGGUCUUUAAAUUUGGGAGGUCUGAUUUUUUUAAGUUCUUUAUAGAUUCGAGAUAGUAGACCUUUUGUCUGAGGAACAGCUGGUGAAAAUUUUUUCCCACAUUGUGUGUUGUCUCAUCACACUGUUGGUGGUUUCUCUUGCUGUGCAGAAGCUUUAUUCUUAUUUUGUGGGAUGGAACACUCUGUAAAUAUCUGUUAAGUUCAUUUGUUCAACAGUUUGAGUUCUAGUAUUUCAUUUCUUUUUUUUUUGUCUAGUUGAUCUAUUUGUGACAGUGGGGUAUUGAGAUCCCCCACUACUAUUGUAUUAGUGCUUAUUUGUUUUUUUUAUGUCUGUUAAUAUUUGUUUUAUAUAGUUGGCUGCACUAGUGUUUGGUCCAUACAUCUUUAUGAUUGUCAUUUCUUCUUCUUGGAUUGUUCCCUUCACAAGAAUGUAGUGGCCUUCUUUGUCUCUCUUGGUUUGAAAUCCACUUGAUCUGCAAAGAGGAUUCCUGUUUUUUUUUCAGGUUCCUGUCGCAUGAAGUAUUAUUUUCCACCCUUUCACUUUCAGUCUAUGAGUUUCUUUUUAAUUAAGUGUGUUUCUUAUAUGCAGCAUAUUGUUGGAUCUUGCUUCUUGACCCAUUCUGCCAGUCUAUUUCUUUUGAAUGGUGAAUUGAGACCAUUAACAUUGAUGGUUAUAACUGAUACAUAUUGACUUAUCCUUGCCAUGACUUUUUCUUUUUGUCGGAUUCUCCCCCUUUGCUUUUGAUUUUUUGUCACACCCAACAGAUUCAUUCUGCUGUGUUUCCUGGGUUUGUGAUCCUCAUUGUCUUUUCCUAGGAUAUUGUCUAAAAUUUUUUGGAGUGCUGGUUUGGUAUUCAUCAAGUUCCUAAGGUGCUCUUUGUCAUGAAAGUAUCUUAUUUCUCCAUCAAUUUUGAAAGAUAGUUUUGCAGGGUACAUGAAUCUGGGUUGGAGGCUGUUUUCUUUUAGGGCUUGGAAUAUGUCACUCCAAGCUCUUCUUGCCUUGAUGGUUUGUGUUGAGAAGUCUGCUGUGAUUCUGAUGGGCUUUCCUUUGUAU